UACGUAGGAUCCAAGCGUUGUCCGGAUUUACUGGGUGUAAAGGGUGCGUAGGCGGGUCUUUAAGUCAGGGGUGAAAUCCUGGAGCUCAACUCCAGAACUGCCUUUGAUACUGAAGAUCUUGAGUUCGGGAGAGGUGAGUGGAACUGCGAGUGUAGAGGUGAAAUUCGUAGAUAUUCGCAAGAACACCAGUGGCGAAGGCGGCUCACUGGCCCGAUACUGACGCUGAGGCACGAAAGCCAGGGGAGCGAACGGG
rnacentral:rRNA from 1 species